rnacentral:misc_RNA from 1 species
AACUUUCAACAAUGGAUCACUUGGCUUUCGCAUCGAUGAAGAACGCAGCGAAAUGCGAUAAGUAAUGUGAAUUGCAGAAUUCAGUGAAUCAUCGAAUCUUUGAACGCACCUUGCGCUCCUUGGUAUUCCGAGGAGCAUGCCUGUUUGAGUGUCAUUAAAUUCUCAACCUUAUCAGUUUAUUUCUGAUAGUGGCUUGGAUGUGGGGGUUUUCUUGCUGGCUGAGGUCAGCUCCCCUUAAAUGCAUUAGCUGGUGCCCCGUGUGGACUGUCUAUUGGUGUGAUAAUUAUCUACGCCAUGGAUGGUCUGCAAGCGCACUGCUUCUAACCGUCUGUUAAUUCGGACAAUACAAUGACAAUUUGACCUCAAAUCAGGUAGGACUACCCGCUGAACUUAAGCAUAUCAAUAAGCGGAGGCU